AGCUCCAAUAGCGUAUAUUAAAGUUGUUGCAGUUAAAAAGCUCGUAGUUGGAUUUGUGGUGUAUGCAGGCGGCCCGUCACAUUGUGUCGGAGCUUGCUUGCGUCGCCAUCCUUGGGUGGAUCCUGUGUGGCAUUAAGUUGUCGUGCAGGGGAUGCCCAUCGUUUACUGUGAAAAAAUUAGAGUGUUCAAAGCAGGCUUACGCCGUUGAAUAUGUUAGCAUGGAAUAAUAAGAUAGGACCUUGGUACUAUUUUGUUGGUUUGCGCACCAAGGUAAUGAUUAAUAGGGACAGUUGGGGGUAUUCGUAUUUCGUUGUCAGAGGUGAAAUUCUUGGAUUCCCGAAAGACGAACUACUGCGAAAGCAUUUACCAAGGAUGUUUUCAUUAAUCAAGAACGAAAGUA
rnacentral:rRNA from 1 species